CUUUGUUAAACAUUUCUUGCAUCUUCUCAAUCUUUGCCUCCAUUCUUUUUUCAAGGUCCUGGAUCAUCUUCACUAUCAUUAUUCUGAAUUCUUUUUCUGGAAGGUUGCCUAUUUCCACUUCAUUUAGUUGUUUUUCUGGGUUCUAUCUUGUUCCUUCAUUUGGUACAUAGCCCUCUGCCUUUUCGUCUCGUCUAUCUUUCUGUGGAUGUGGUUUUUGUUCCAGAGGCUGCAGGAUUGUAGUUCUCCUUGCUUCUGCUGUCUGCCUUCUGGUGGAUUAGGCUAUCUAAGAGGCUUGUGCAAGUUUCCUGAUGGGAGGGACUGGUAGUGGGUAUAGCUUGGUGUUGCUCUGGUGGGCAGAGCUCAGUAAAACUUUAAUCCGCUUUUCUGCUGAUGGGUGGGGCUGGAUUCCCUCCCUGUUGGUUGUUUGGCCUGAGGCAUCCCAACACUGGAGUCUACCGGGCUCUUUGGUGGGGCUAAUGGCAGACUCUGGGAGGGCUCACACCAAGGAGUACUUCCCAGAAGUGAGAGAGAGACACAGCCACCCCAGCCUCUGCAGGAGACCCUCCAACACUAGCAGUGUGAAUACUUCUGUGAUUAAAAAGAGAAAGACACUGGAGGGAAAAAACCACAGAAGAAUAUAUGCCGGUCAGAAAAGAAGAUGAAGCCAGUGCCAACAGUGAAGAGAGCAGAGUGAGUCCUGGAGGCCCUUGGAAACCACACCUGGUAGUGAGGACAGAGGAAUCAUCAGGGCCAAGAUCAGAGAACCACUCCAGCAAACAUAUGGCAAUCUCGGAGUUACAAUGGCUUUUGAAGAAUGCUGGGAGAAUGUGCUAACAACCCAGGAGCAGGGUCACCAAAUGUGCAGAGAGCCCCACAUCCUGGAGGGAGUUGGAAACAAGCUGGGGAGGAGGGCAGACCAUCCAACCGGACAUCCCUUCAGAAUGGACUAGUUCGAUGCUGCCUUCCUCUGUGCUACUCUGGGCUACAAGUUAUUUACCAGUCCAACACGUGAUGUUGGCCUUCCUAAGAACUUCACAGGGGACUGCUGGGUAAGGAGAUGAAGUGGGACUUCUCCCCAACAGCAGGUGAGUGGAAGAAAAGCUGCUUUAUGUCCUAAGAUACAUGAUUGCUCUUCAGUGGUCAGGCCACUAGUGAGUUGAUCAUGCUAGUGAAUAAUGGAUUAAAGCUAUAGUUUAUAGCGAGUGAUUUAACCUUUCCAAAUCUCAGUUUUCUCAUCUGUCCAAUAGGGUAAUAGUAACUUUUCCCAAACUUUUUGGUUGCUGUGAUGAUUAAAGAUAAUGCUUGUAAAGUGCCAACUUACAUCUCCUCCCCUGGUUCUUAGGCCUUUGGACUCAGACUGGAACGACACCACUGGCUGUCCUGAGUCCCCAGCUUGCCAGCUCUCCCCACAGAUCUGGGGAAUUCCGGCCUCCAUAAUCAUAUGAGCCAAUUCCUUAUAAUAAAUCUUGUGAUAUAAAUAGAUAUAGAUACAUAAAUCGUAUAGAUAUAUUUAUAUAUCUAUAUAUUUAAAUUUUACAUAUAAUAUAAAUAUAUAGAUAUAUUUAUAAAUGGCCAGGUAUAGAUAUAUAAAUAAUAUAAAUGACCAAAUGGCCUUGGACAACACUGGAAUAUAUAUAUAUAUACCUCUCUGUAUAUAGACAUAUAGAUAUAUAGAUAGAGAUAGAUAAUGAUAGACAGAUAGAUAAUCUCC